rnacentral:rRNA from 1 species
UACGAAGGGGGCUAGCGUUGCUCGGAAUCACUGGGCGUAAAGCGCACGUAGGCGGCUCGUUAAGUCAGGGGUGAAAUCCUGGAGCUCAACUCCAGAACUGCCUUUGAUACUGGCGAGCUUGAGUCCGGGAGAGGUGAGUGGAACUGCGAGUGUAGAGGUGAAAUUCGUAGAUAUUCGCAAGAACACCAGUGGCGAAGGCGGCUCACUGGCCCGGUACUGACGCUGAGGCACGAAGGUCAGGGGAGCAAACGGG